UUCUCUGUGGUGUAAUGGGUCAGUGUGUCUGGCUGUUAAUCAGAAGGUUGGUGGUUUGAGCCCACCCUGGGAUA
rnacentral:tRNA from 1 species